rnacentral:rRNA from 1 species
AUCCGAAUUACUGGGCGUAAAGCGUGCGUAGGCGGCUGGUUAAGUCGGAUGUGAAAGCCCCGGGCUUAACCUGGGAACUGCAUUUGAUACUGGCCGGCUAGAGUUUAGUAGAGGGAGAGUGGAAUUUCAGGUGUAGCGGUGAAAUGCGUAGAGAUCUGAAGGAACACCAGUGGCGAAGGCGACUCUCUGGACUGAAACUGACGCUGAGGUACGAAAGCGUGGGUAGCAAACAGGAUUAGAUACCCUGGUAGUCCACGCCGUAAACGAUGUCAACUAGCCGUUGGGCCUUUUAACAGGCUUAGUGGCGCAGCUAACGCAUUAAGUUGACCGCCUGGGGAGUACGGCCGCAAGGUUAAAACUCAAAUGAAUUGACGGGGGCCCGCACAAGCGGUGGAGCAUGUGGUUUAAUUCGAUGCAACGCGAAGAACCUUACCUACCCUUGACAUGCAUAGAAUC